rnacentral:rRNA from 1 species
UACGUAGGGGGGCAAGCGUUGUCCGGAUUUAUUGGGCGUAAAGAGCGUGUAGGCGGCCAGGUAGGUGGGUUGUGAAAACUGGAGGCUCAACCUUCAGACGUCGACCCAAACCCCCCUGGCUAGAGUCCGGAAGAGGAGAGUGGAAUUCCUGGUGUAGCGGUGAAAUGCGCAGAUAUCAGGAAGAACACCGAUGGCGAAGGCAGGUCUCUGGGCAUUAACUGACGCUGAGGAGCGAAAGCAUGGGGAGCAAACAGG